rnacentral:rRNA from 1 species
AGUCGACGAUGAUGCCCAGCUUGCUGGGCGGAUUAGUGGCGAACGGGUGAGUAAUACGUGAGUAACCUGCCCUUGACUCUGGGAUAAGCCUGGGAAACUGGGUCUAAUACUGGAUACUACCUCUUGCCGCAUGGUGGGUGGUGGAAAGGGUUUUACUGGUUUUGGAUGGGCUCACGGCCUAUCAGCUUGUUGGUGGGGUAAUGGCUCACCAAGGCGACGACGGGUAGCCGGCCUGAGAGGGUGACCGGCCACACUGGGACUGAGACACGGCCCAGACUCCUACGGGAGGCAGCAGUGGGGAAUAUUGCACAAUGGGCGGAAGCCUGAUGCAGCGACGCCGCGUGAGGGAUGACGGCCUUCGGGUUGUAAACCUCUUUCAGUAGGGAAGAAGCGAGAGUGACGGUACCUGCAGAAGAAGCGCCGGCUAACUACGUGCCAGCAGCCGCGGUAAUACGUAGGGCGCAAGCGUUGUCCGGAAUUAUUGGGCGUAAAGAGCUCGUAGGCGGUUUGUCGCGUCUGCUGUGAAAGCCCGGGGCUCAACCCCGGGUCUGCAGUGGGUACGGGCAGACUAGAGUGCAGUAGGGGAGACUGGAAUUCCUGGUGUAGCGGUGAAAUGCGCAGAUAUCAGGAGGAACACCGAUGGCGAAGGCAGGUCUCUGGGCUGUUACUGACGCUGAGGAGCGAAAGCAUGGGGAGCGAACAGGAUUAGAUACCCUGGUAGUCCAUGCCGUAAACGUUGGGCACUAGGUG